rnacentral:rRNA from 1 species
GAUGAACGCUGGCGGCGUGCUUAACACAUGCAAGUCGAACGGAGUUAUGUAGAAUGAGUCUUCGGACAAGUGAAUAUAGACUUAGUGGCGGACGGGUGAGUAACGUGUGGGGUAACCUACCCUAUACAGGAGGAUAACAGUAAGAAAUUAUUGCUAAAACUGCAUAAGAUUACGAGUUCGCAUGAACAAGUGAUAAAAACUUUAGUGGUAUAGGAUGGGCCCGCAUCUGAUUAGGUAGUUGGGUGGAGUAAAAGCCUACCAAGCCGACGAUCAGUAGCCGAUCUGAGAGGAUGACCGGCCACAUUGGGACUGAGGCACGGCCCAAACUCCUACGGGAGGCAGCAGUGGGGAAUAUUGACAAUGGGGGGAUACCCUGAUCCAGCGACGCCGCGUGAGUGAAGAAUAUUUUGGGUAUGUAAAGCUCUAUCAGCAGGGAGAAAAUGACGGACCUGAUUAAGAAGCCCCGGGUAACUACGUGCCAGCAGGCUGGGUAAUACGUAGGGGCAAGCGUUAUCCGGAUUUUCUGGUUGUAAGGGAGCGUA